rnacentral:lncRNA from 1 species
AGAUAAAUAAAAAAAGUAAGAGAAAAAAAUCAAAAAAAUGAGAAAAAAGAUAAAUGUAAUUUCUAGUUUGUAAGAGAUGCCACAUCACCUAUGUUAGGCCCUGCUUUAUAUUAAUAUAUAGAUACUUGCUUUGUGCUUCUAAUUAUAUCUUACUUCAUUUUGUGCUUUUAAUUAUAUAUUGGUCCUUUUACACCUCAGGGCUUUGUUCAACGGCUAAGGUAGUAGUAUAUCGUGAAUGUGUGGUAGGCGCACAUCACGAGUUUGAAACCUGGCUACUUAACGAAGUCCAGCAUUUAAGUGGAGAAAGGUUAGAAGGGCUUCCCAUUAUCCUCAAGUUUCAAAGCUAAAACAGCGGAUUCUUGGUCUUAAAAAGACUUAUAUCCUAGUCCUUUUUUUCCUGAUAUUCUUGUUGUUAAGACCAAAGUUCUUUGAGGACUUUCAGGUUUCUUGUGAGUAAACUGUGCUAGGUGUACGACAACUUGGAUAAAGUGGUGAAUUAUGUCUAUAAUUUUGAAGAGUAUGCCAUUUUUCACUUGAAGAAUCGCUUGAAAAACUUGAAUUUUAAGUGUGGUGUAUGGUACUCUACCUUCACAUACGCAUGCAGUUUGUGUUCUGUUUUCGAUGAUCUCUGUUUUUUCAAUUGCUAUUUGCUUGUGCCUGACUUAGUUCUCUCUUAAAGCUCUUGGAGCCGAUGACGACUGUUCAUCUUUUAUGCUAUUUGUGAUGCAGCCUUGAGUUACUGACUGCAGAGUUGAAACUGCUUGUAAGUCUAUCAUUGUUGAAUAUGUAAUUGCUUUCUGAAAGGGCAUGGAUUGAUUUGCUGCUUGUUUUUUUUUUCUUUUCGGGCUACUCUUCUGUUUCCCAUCUUGGUCUUUUUAUUCAUUAAGAACAUUCUGAAGACAUGGGUUUUAGCUGCUGAUACUUACUGCUCAGG